GCGCCCUUAGCUCAGUUGGAUAGAGCAAUAGCCUUCUAAGCUAUGGGUCGGUGGUUCGAAUCCACCAGGGCGCGCCA
rnacentral:tRNA from 1 species